rnacentral:rRNA from 1 species
GGGGGGCAGGCUACACAUGCAAGUCGAGCGAGAACUUCGGUUCUAGCGGCGGACGGGUUAGUAACGCGUGGGAACGUGCCCUUCACUACGGAAUAGUCCCGGGAAACUGGGUUUAAUACCGUAUACGCCCUUCGGGGGAAAGAAUUUCGGUGAAGGAUCGGCCCGCGUUAGAUUAGAUAGUUGGUGGGGUAACGGCCUACCAAGUCUACGAUCUAUAGCUGGUUUUAGAGGAUGAUCAGCAACACUGGGACUGAGACACGGCCCAGACUCCUACGGGAGGCAGCAGUGGGGAAUCUUAGACAAUGGGCGCAAGCCUGAUCUAGCCAUGCCGCGUGAGUGAUGAAGGCCUUAGGGUCGUAAAGCUCUUUCGCCAGGGAUGAUAAUGACAGUACCUGGUAAAGAAACCCCGGCUAACUCCGUGCCAGCAGCCGCGGUAAUACGGAGGGGGUUAGCGUUGUUCGGAAUUACUGGGCGUAAAGCGCGCGUAGGCGGAUUGGAAAGUUGGGGGUGAAAUCCCAGGGCUCAACCCUGGAACUGCCUCCAAAACUAUCAGUCUAGAGUUCGAGAGAGGUGAGUGGAACUCCGAGUGUAGAGGUGAAAUUCGUAGAUAUUCGGAAGAACACCAGUGGCGAAGGCGGCUCACUGGCUCGAUACUGACGCUGAGGUGCGAAAGUGUGGGGAGCAAACAGGAUUAGAUACCCUGGUAGUCC